AUGUUAUUUAUUACAGAUUGAAAUAACACGGUCAAAACAGAGAAUACACGUAUCGCUACUGCUCCAACGAAAGAGACAACAACCCACAAACAUCGUGGGGGGAAGAGGAACUUAAAUAUGAUUCCCCAAUCAGAGGCAACUAGCGACAGCUGUCUCUGAUUGGGAAUCUACAGAACCCAACAUAGAAAUACGCCCCAAAGCAAGGCUAUACCAAAACAUAGAAAAUAAACUAUAGAAAUGCCACACCCUGACCAAAAUAGAAGAGUUCACCUGGUCAGGGCGUGACAUUUUAAUUAUGCAAUGUUACCAAAUGAAAAGAAAGUUGAGGUGCCUUCUGCCCUGAUGAAGGUAGGCUAGUCUUCUCCAGGACCCAUUGUUGUUCAAGACAGUUACAGUCAUUCAUUACAUUCUUAUUGGACUCACAUACACUCUUAGAGAAAAAGGUUCCAAAAGUGUGCUUCUGCUUUCCCCAUGGGAUAUCCAUUUUUGGUUCCAGGUAUAACCCUUUGGGGAAAAUGUUAUACAUGGAACCCAAUAGGGUUCUACUUGGAACCAAAAGGGGUACUACCUGGAACCAAAAAGGGAUCUCCUAUGGGGACAGCCGGGGAACCCUUUUAAGUAGAUAGUACCAUUCUUUCUAAGAGUAGAGUUGGCCUGGGCUACAGUUUAAUGAUAUAGUCAUAGACUGAAUUGUACUGUUUCAAGGCAUUGUUAAUGAUGGUUGAUGAGUAUUACAAUAUAAUUAGUAGAGCAUAAUAAACAGUAAUGAGGUAGCUAUCUGAGUAGAUAUAAUAUGUGGGUGGAAUUGAAGUUACACACAAUAUUGAUAAUUAUUUGGAAUUAUAUUCUAGAUUCUUGGCGACAGGGGACUCCUACAGGACCAAUGGAUUCAGAUUCCGAGUUGGACGGUCCACAGGCAUUGUCCCCUCUGUGGCACAAGCCAUUUGGGACUGUCUGGUUGGUGAAUACAUGCCUGUCCCCAAGGAGGAAGACUGGAGGGCCAUCGCUGCUGAGUUCCUGGAGAGGUGGAAUUUCCCCAACUGUCUUGGCUCCAUUGACGGGAAACAUGUAGUAAUCCAGGCUCCACCGUGCUCAGCUUCGCAAUUCUACAACAAGGCCGGUGGUAGCUGGUCCCCUGCAGGAAGGUGAGGUGCUGGAGGUCCCUCCGCCCCCUCUGGACAUCGGGGGCUCCCCGGCGUACAGCAUAAGGGCUAUUCUGGACUCGAGACGCCGGGUGAGGGGCCUGCAGUACCUCGUGGACUGGGAGGGGUACGGCCCGGAGGAGAGGUUCUGGGUACCGGUGGAGGACAUCUUGGACCCGUCCCUGUUGAGGGAUUUCCAUCGCCUCCACCCGGAGCGCCCUGCGCCUCGCCCUGUGUCGGCGCG
rnacentral:lncRNA from 1 species